UACAGAGGGGGCAAGCGUUGUUCGGAAUUACUGGGCGUAAAGGGCGCGUAGGCGGCCUGUUAAGUCGAACGUGAAAUCCCCGGGCUCAACCCGGGAACUGCGUCCGAUACUGGCAGGCUUGAAUUCGGGAGAGGGAUGUGGAAUUCCACGUGUAGCGGUGAAAUGCGUAGAGAUGUGGAGGAACACCAGUGGCGAAGGCGACUCUUUGGCCUGUAACUGACACUGAGGCGCGAAAGCGUGGGGAGCAAACAGGAU
rnacentral:rRNA from 1 species